rnacentral:tmRNA from 1 species
GGGGGCGUACCGGUUUCGACGUGAGCGGUCAGCGUCCUGCGAGACGAGCCGAGUUUGCUGGAGACUCGUAAAACGCCGGCACAAAAACACACGCCGACGAUAUGGAGUUGGCGGCUGCCUAAAUAAAGGCAGCCCAUCGGUCCGGGCGGCCCACGGCCCGGUUCCCGGUGUCAUCUUAGUGGGCUAACCCCGCAGGCCCUGGCCCAGGGUCUGUGGGGGACACACAGAGGGCUAGCCCCUCCGCGGCGCCCCGGUCUGCGGAGGUCGGUGAAAACAAUACCGGGUGCUACGCUCGUACAAUCUCGCGGACGGCGCGCUCGCGGACGCGGGUUCGAAUCCCGCCGCCUCCACUA